CUCUGUCUCUUAUACACAUCUAGAUGUGUAUAAGAGACAGGGCUAAUCUCUUGAAAAAGGGGUGAUGCCUAUGGUUCAUAGCUGUAUCCCUAGAAGGGAGUAAGCAGUGUCAACUUUUGAAGCAAUUCAACUGAUGAUCGCUUUUGCGACGUUAGUUUUGCUGAUCAUUGGCCACAA
rnacentral:sRNA from 1 species